CCGAGAGCUGAAGCUGGUGGCUCCCAGUGAGUUGCUC
rnacentral:miRNA from 1 species